rnacentral:rRNA from 1 species
GAACGCUGGCGGCGUGCCUAAUACAUGCAAGUCGAGCGAACAGACGAGGAGCUUGCUCCUCUGACGUUAGCGGCGGACGGGUGAGUAACACGUGGAUAACCUACCUAUAAGACUGGGAUAACUUCGGUAAACCGGAGCUAAUACCGGAUAAUAUAUUGAACCGCAUGGUUCAAUAGUGAAAGACGGUUUUGCUGUCACUUAUAGAUGGAUCCGCGCCGCAUUAGCUAGUUGGUAAGGUAACGGCUUACCAAGGCAACGAUGCGUAGCCGACCUGAGAGGGUGAUCGGCCACACUGGAACUGAGACACGGUCCAGACUCCUACGGGAGGCAGCAGUAGGGAAUCUUCCGCAAUGGGCGAAAGCCUGACGGAGCAACGCCGCGUGAGUGAUGAAGGUCUUCGGAUCGUAAAACUCUGUUAUUAGGGAAGAACAAAUGUGUAAGUAACUAUGCACGUCUUGACGGUACCUAAUCAGAAAGCCACGGCUAACUACGUG